AUGAUGGACUAUAGGACAGGACUGCUGCUUCUGACUGUCUGCUGGGCAGGUGUUGAUGGUCAGACUCUGACAGAAUCUGAACCAGCAGUUACAAGUCCUGGAGGAUCUCACAGAUUGACCUGUACAACCUCUGGAAUUAAUUUAGCUGGCAACUCGAUGGGCUGGAUCAGACAGGCUCCUGGAAAAGGACUGGAGUGGAUCGCUUAUAUCAACAGUGGCAGCAGCAGCAUCUACUACUCUCAGUCAGUCAGAGGGCGGUUUACCAUCUCCAGAGACAACAGCAGAGAGGAGCUGUAUCUGCAGAUGAACAGUCUGAAGACUGAAGAUUCUGCUGUUUAUUAUUGUGCU